rnacentral:rRNA from 1 species
AUUGAACGCUGGCGGCAUGCCUUACACAUGCAAGUCGAACGGCAGCACGGGUGCUUGCACCUGGUGGCGAGUGGCGAACGGGUGAGUAAUAUAUCGGAACGUACCUUAUCGUGGGGGAUAACGCAGCGAAAGCUGUGCUAAUACCGCAUAAGCCCUAAGGGGGAAAGCAGGGGACCGUAAGGCCUUGCGCGAUUAGAGCGGCCGAUACCUGAUUAGCUAGUUGGUGAGGUAAAGGCUAACCAAGGCAACGAUCAGUAGCUGGUCUGAGAGGACGAUCAGCCACACUGGGACUGAGACACGGCCCAGACUCCUACGGGAGGCAGCAGUGGGGAAUUUUGGACAAUGGGGGCAACCCUGAUCCAGCAAUGCCGCGUGAGUGAAGAAGGCCUUCGAGUUGUAAAGCUCUUUUGUCAGGGAAGAAACAGCAGCUCUAAUACAGUAUGCGAAUGACGGUACCUGAAGAAUAAGCACCGGCUAACUACGUGCCAGCAGCCGCAGUAA